AUAAAUAAUAUACUACUAUUUAUAAAGAAUACUAAUAAUUUUGGGGCCUUUAAAUUUUUGGGGCCUAAAGCAAGUGUUUCACUUGCUUUAGGGUUGGGCCGCCCCUGGUUUAUUUGCAGAAAACGUCCGAAACCAAUAUCGAGAAUCGAAAAAAGUUGAAGCAUGCACACACUGCUGGCAAAACAAGUUUUGCUCUAAUCAUCGAGGAAAACAAGAAGGAAAUGGCUGAUACUUCAGAUACAUUAUCAAGUAAGGACAUCUUUGUGGCUACAAGAAAAAGAAAGCCUAGUCGAGUAUACAAAGGCUCUUAUGAGAAUACAAUUAGUAAAAUUGCUAAAAUGGAGAGAAUACAAUCAACUCAAGAAAGUGAAGAUGGCAGUGAUUCAGUUGACGCGUUUACAUCAGUCAUGGGACCUGAGCACCCAGGUCGGGUAAGAUUGUAUGACGAAGAGUUAACAAGACUGUCUUAAAAAAGAAAUGGAAGAUUUUGGAUCCUCUGUAAAUGCUAUUGAUGAGAGAAUGCAACAAAAAAUAGAGGAAAUGGAAGAGAGGAUGCAACAAAGAAUGCUGGAAAAGUUCAAUGCACAAAAGGAAGCUAUGGAACAAGAUAUUAUGAUGAACGUCGUUACACGACUUCAACGUCUCAACUCCGAUUUGAGACUUGAUCCUGACAUGCUAAUAAAUAUUCAAUGCUCGUGCACCUGGAGAAGCUUUUUCUGCACAAUAAGCUGUUAUUCAACCAAUCAAUCGUCCAUUUGCUGGCAGUAACAAUCAAGGUGGAGUAGAUAAAGAAAUGAAAGACGGAGGCAGUGAUGAACAUCUAGACCUUACUUAAUAGAAUUUUGAAUUGCUGUAGAUGCAUGUGUCGGUUUCUAGGAAUGUUUGUUAUCAAUAUUUUAAAACUUUUAACUCUUGAAAUAUCAAAUGUAUGUACUUGGUAAUAUUUUAUCACUUCUAUGGAUUUAUUAGCUUGUUGGACAAUUUGGAUUA